rnacentral:rRNA from 1 species
CCGGAAUUGCCGGCAUGCUACCAUGCGAGUCGAACGAUGAAGCCUUUCGGGGUGGAUUAGUGGCGAACGGGUGAGUAACACGUGGGCAAUCUGCCCUUCACUCUGGGACAAGCCCUGGAAACGGGGUCUAAUACCGGAUAAUACUUCUGCCUGCAUGGGUGGGGGUUGAAAGCUCCGGCGGUGAAGGAUGAGCCCGCGGCCUAUCAGCUUGUUGGUGGGGUAAUGGCCUACCAAGGCGACGACGGGUAGCCGGCCUGAGAGGGCGACCGGCCACACUGGGACUGAGACACGGCCCAGACUCCUACGGGAGGCAGCAGUGGGGAAUAUUGCACAAUGGGCGGAAGCCUGAUGCAGCGACGCCGCGUGAGGGAUGACGGCCUUCGGGUUGUAAACCUCUUUCAGCAGGGAAGAAGCGCAAGUGACGGUACCUGCAGAAGAAGCGCCGGCUAACUACGUGCCAGCAGCCGCGGUAAUACGUAGGGCGCAAGCGUUGUCCGGAAUUAUUGGGCGUAAAGAGCUCGUAGGCGGCUUGUCACGUCGGAUGUGAAAGCCCGGGGCUUAACCCCGGGUCUGCAUUCGAUACGGGCUAGCUAGAGUGUGGUAGGGGAGAUCGGAAUUCCUGGUGUAGCGGUGAAAUGCGCAGAUAUCAGGAGGAACACCGGUGGCGAAGGCGGAUCUCUGGGCCAUUACUGACGCUGAGGAGCGAAAGCGUGGGGAGCGAACAGGAUUAGAUACCCUGGUAGUCCACGCCGUAAACGUUGGGAACUAGG